CUUGGAUCUCCCUGAGGUCACCAUAUUGAUGUCAAACUUAGUGCGGACAUCCGACUGGCAUAGCACACUACAGCCCAGAACUCCUGGACUCAAGCGAUCCUCCAGCCUCAGCCUCCCAAGUAGCUGGGACUACAA